rnacentral:rRNA from 1 species
AAGCAUCUAAGCGGGAAACUAGCCUCAAGAUGAGAUCUCACUGGGACCUUGAGUCCCCUGAAGGGCCGUCGAAGACUACGACGUUGAUAGGUUGGGUGUGUAAGCGCUGUGAGGCGUUGAGCUAACCAAUACUAAUUGCCCGUGAGGCUUGACCAUAUAACACCCAAGCAAUU